rnacentral:rRNA from 1 species
ACUCCUACGGGAGGCAGCAGUGGGGAAUAUUGCACAAUGGGGGAAAGCCCUCGAUGCAGCCAUGCCGCGUGUGUGAAGAAGGCUCUAGGGUUGUAAAGGCACAUUUCAACAGUGAGGAAAAAGUUAACGGUUAAUACCCCGUUAGCCCCUGACGUUAACUGUAGAAGAAGCACCGGCUAACUCCGUGCCAGCAGCCGCGGUAAUACGGAGGGUGCAAGCGUUAAUCGGAAUUACUGGGCGUAAAGCGCACGUAGGCGGUUAGUUAAGCUAGCUGUGAAAGCCCCGGGCUUAACCUGGGAACUGCAGUUAGAACUGGCUGGCUAGAGUACAGUAGAGGGUGUGGAAUUUCAGGUGUAGCGGUGAAAUGCGUAGAUAUCUGAAGGAACAUCAGUGGCGAAGGCGACACCCUGGACUGAUACUGACGCUGAGGUGCGAAAG